GGUGGCGAGCGGCGGACGGGUGAGAAUGCCUAGGAAUCUGCCUGGUAGUGGGGGAUAACGCUCGGAAACGGACGCUAAUACCGCAUACGUCCUACGGGAGAAAGCAGGGGACCCUCGGGCCUUGCGCUAUCAGAUGAGCCUAGGUCGGAUUAGCUAGUUGGUGAGGUAAUGGCUCACCAAGGCGACGAUCCGUAACUGGUCUGAGAGGAUGAUCAGUCACACUGGAACUGAGACACGGUCCAGACUCCUACGGGAGGCAGCAGUGGGGAAUAUUGGACAAUGGGCGAAAGCCUGAUCCAGCCAUGCCGCGUGUGUGAAGAAGGUCUUCGGAUUGUAAAGCACUUUAAGUUGGGAGGAAGGGCAGUAACCUAAUACCUGAUUGUUUUGACGUUACCGACAGAAUAAGCACCGGCUUACUCUGGGCCAGCAGCCGCGGUAAUACAGAAGGGUGCAGCGUUACUGGAAUUUACUGGGCGUAAAGCGCGCGUAUGGUGUUUGUUAAGUUGUGUGUGAAAUCCCCGGGCAACC
rnacentral:rRNA from 1 species